AACCUUGGGAUAAGGAUUGGCUCUGAGGACUGAGCCGGUCGGGCUGGGGACCUGAAGCAGGAACGGCACUGCACCGGGACUGGGCGGGGCUCGCCGUUCACGCGGCGCGGCCAAGCCCGGACCAGCGUCGGGACCUUCCUGUGGAAAGCCUCAGCUGCGCGGCGUCUGAGGGCUUCGUGCCCAAAGUGCUAUGCUUCGGCCGGCAAAAAACAGUCAACUCAGAACUGGCACGGACCGGGGGAAUCCGACUGUCUAAUUAAAACAAAGCAUUGCGAUGGCCGCUGGUCGGUGUUGACGCAAUGUGAUUUCUGCCCAGUGCUCUGAAUGUCAACGUGAAGAGAUUCAUCAAAGCGCGGGUAAACGGCGGGAGUAACUAUGACUCUCUUGUGGUAGCCAAAUGCCUCGUCAUCUAAUUAGUGACGCGCAUGAAUGGAUUAACGAGAUUCCCAC
rnacentral:ncRNA from 1 species